ensembl:misc_RNA Metazoa_SRP Metazoan signal recognition particle RNA
GCCGGGCGUGGUGGCGGGCGCCUGUAGUCCCAGCUACUCGGGAGGCUGAGGCAGGAGAAUCGCUUGAAUCCGGGGGGCGGAGGUUGCAGUGAGCUGAGGUCACACCACUGCACUCCAGCCUGGGUGACAGAGCGAGACUCUGUCUCAA